rnacentral:rRNA from 1 species
CACGUAGGGCGCAAGCGUUGUCCGGAAUUAUUGGGCGUAAAGAGCUCGUAGGCGGUCUGUUACGUCUGCUGUGAAAACCCGGGGCUUAACCCUGGGCUUGCAGUGGAUACGGGCAGACUAGAGGCAGGUAGGGGAGAAUGGAAUUCCCGGUGUAGCGGUGAAAUGCGCAGAUAUCUGGAGGAACACCGGUGGCGAAGGCGGCAUCCUGGACCAAUACUGACACUGAGGAGCGAAAGCCAGGGGAGCAAACGGG